UCUCUCUCUCUCUACUAAAUUCAUCACCCACCUCACUCUAUCUCUCUCUACAAAUUUCUACUUCACUUUGCACCCUAAUUAUCAAUGCUCUACUGAAUCUCGUAGCCGGGUUACUCAAUUCCAACUUGAAGCAUUGUCAACUCUCAAACGCCUCAAUUCGUUGCUCGUCGAAAGGUGUCGAAAAUGAAGAAAGGGACGGAGGCAGUG